rnacentral:tRNA from 46 species
GCACCCGUAGCUCAGCUGGAUAGAGCGCUGCCCUCCGAAGGCAGAGGUCAGAGGUUCGAAUCCUCUCGGGUGCGCCA